rnacentral:rRNA from 1 species
GGUAGCUUGCUCCCGGAUGUUAGCGGCGGACGGGUGAGUAACACGUGGGUAACCUGCCUGUAAGACUGGGAUAACUCCGGGAAACCGGAGCUAAUACCGGAUGGUUCCUUGAACCGCAUGGUUCAAGGAUGAAAGACGGUUUCGGCUGUCACUUACAGAUGGACCCGCGGCGCAUUAGCUAGUUGGUGGGGUAAUGGCUCCCAAGGCGACGAUGCGUACCGACCUGAGAGGGUGAUCGGCCACGCUGGGACUGAUACACGCCCCNAACUCCUACCNAAGGCGACUGUAG